rnacentral:rRNA from 1 species
AGUGAACGCUGGCGGCGUGCCUAAUACAUGCAAGUCGAACGGAGUGGCGCACGGGUGUGUAAUAUAUAGCUAAUCUGCCCCUUGCUGGAGGACAACUGCUAGAAAUGAUUGCUAAUACCCCAUAGCAAGGGAUGAGACCAUAACGGAACAGCUAGUCGGUGGGGUAACGGCCUACCGAGGCUAUGACGCGUAACUGGGCUGAGGGGAUGAUCAGUCACAUUGGAAGUGAGACACGGUCGAGACUCCUAGGGGAGGCAGCAGUAGGGUAUAUUGCGCAAUGGGUGAUACCCUGACGGAGCAACGCCGGGUGGAGGAUGACACUUUGCGGAGCGUAAACUCCUUUUGUUAGGGAAGCGGUACCUAACGAAUAAGCACCGGCUAACUCCGUGCCAGCAGCCGCGGUAAUUC